UACAGAGGUCUCAAGCGUUGUUCGGAUUCAUUGGGCGUAAAGGGUGUGUAGGUGGCGCCGUAAGUCGGGUGUGAAAGCCCUCGGCUCAACCGGGGAAGUGCACCCGAAACUGCAAAGCUAGAGUCUCGGAGAGGAUCGUGGAAUUCUCGGUGUAGAGGUGAAAUUCGUAGAUAUCGAGAGGAACACCGGUGGCGAAGGCGGCGAUCUGGACGAUGACUGACGCUGAGACGCGAAAGCGUGGGGAGCAAACAGG
rnacentral:rRNA from 1 species